AGCGCAGGCGGGAAGACAAGUUGGAAGUGAAAUCUAUGGGCUCAACCCAUAAACUGCUUUCAAAACUGUUUUUCUUGAGUAGUGCAGAGGUAGAUGGAAUUCCCGGUGUAGCGGUGGAAUGCGUAGAUAUCGGGAGGAACACCAGUGGCGAAGGCGGUCUACUGGGCACCAACUGACGCUGAGGCUCGAAAGCAUGGAUAGCAAACA
rnacentral:rRNA from 1 species